rnacentral:lncRNA from 1 species
AUAUAGCAACCAACGCCCAACGCGCUCAUACCAGGCAAAACUAGUGGAAGGAGGCAGAGCGUGUGACUUCACAGACACAAGGACAUUUUGAAAUGAACAUUUCUAUUUGUUUCAGAGUGAAAUUGUGACAUUUCUCACCAAUGACGGUUAAGAUUUGCCGAGUUUUUCAUAGGGUAUCGUUUUUUUACAAUGGGAGAGUCAAUAAUGCCGAAGAAAAAUUGGAAAAACAGGAGCGGUUGUGAAAAUCCAAUAUGGCGUCAGGUUGGAUCGGCGGAUGUGGCGUCAAUAUUAGAAAGGGGACCUUGCCGAAGUUAUUGCUGUAUAGUCAAAGAAAUUAAGAAUGGUUUGGGAAGUCAUGAAGUUUUGUUUUUGAAAUUCAAAUCUCUAUAUGGUAAUGUAUGACGCAGAUUUAUAGUAAGGCAUUAUUUUUUGUCGAGUAUUUGUUUGGUUUGCAAGUUGGUAUUUGUAUAAAUGUAGGGACGAGUUGAUAAUUAAGGAGUCGAGUUAUAUGAUAUACAUGGCGUCUGGUUGGAUCGGCUGAUCUUGCGUCAAUAUUAGAAAGGGGACCUUGCCGAAGUAAUUGCUGUAUAGUCCUAAGAAAUUGAGAAUGGUUUGGGAAGGCGCGAAGUUUUGUUUUUGAAAUUCAAAUCUCUGGUAAUGCAUGUCGCAAAUUUAUAAUAUGGCAUUAAUUAUUGUAAAAAGUACGGACUCCGUGGGUUUGCAAGUUGGUAUUUAUAUAAAUGUAGGGACGAGUUUAUAAUUAAGGAGUAGACUUGUAUAAUAUACAUGGGUAUUGUUCCGUCCAACAAAUAUAUUUCGGUCAAAGUCAAGAAUGGGGCACAAGUACUGGUUUCAAGGAAGAGAUAUGAGAGGAUAUACACAUUAAUUAUUAAAUAUGUUAUAUUGUCGUUUUAGCUGUAUACUUUGUUUGAAUAAAGAACACAAAUUUAUCUUUAUAUUCUUUUUUAGUUGUUGAUGUAUAAGUAUGCAAUUACUGUUUAAACAUGUCUUCCUUUCUAUUGUUAGCAAUACCCAUGACUGGCAUGUGUGGCCUUCUUCAUAAUCCGGUCAUCCAGGGGUCUUAAACCAAAGGACUGCACAAGUCUGUUGGGGGUUGUGUUUGGGCAAGUGACAGACUACAGUUGUUCAGUUUCCUGACCGUAUAGAAUCGUCGCCCCAUUGCUGACGACCAGUCACAGAAAUAUAUCAUGUCCCACCUGGUCCUGGCAAGAGUCUUGGCUUAGCCGUUGACCUCUUCAUCAGCUAUCCGAACCAUGUCCUGAUCACAUCUAAGCCGUUGGUGCAUAGCGUGCAGCCAGGUUCAUGGUCUGACCUCCACAAAUCCAUUAUUUGAUGACAUGAUGAUUCAGCACUGCAAAUUUCUAGUCCAGAGAACAGCUGUCCCAGCCUUUCAUCAGAAAUUUGUGAUGUUGAAAAUGCAAUUCAAAGAGUGGGCAUAAUCCAUUGUGAUUGCAAGUGUGGACAUGGUGCAACUACAAAGUGCUCUUCUCUGAAAUAGCAAAGACUUCCAUGUUAAGCUAGCAUGGUGCCGACUUUGAAUAGAACACCCAUAGUAGGCCCAAGUGAGGACUACAGCACACAUCUCUUCCACAUUGCUGUUUGCAGAAAUGUUGAAUCUAGUCCAGAGUUUGUCGAUGGCCUGCUUUACAGUCUUUCCCCGACAUAAAAAGAUUUAAUCGUGACCUGUCCAUUUUGCCUGUCCAUGUUUAACUUGAAAAUACUGAUGACCUGAUGGUUCACCAUGAUUGAUAUUGGGUGCGAGCAGAUUCAACAAUCGCCAAGAUGUCCGGUCUUUGACAAAAUGGGUGGUUUGGUGUUGUAUUAUAUAUUAAUACUCAAAUUUCGAAUUUUGGUCGGUUAAACUGGACAUAGUACAAAACAAUCUUGACAGUUAUAUAUAUAUGUAAACUUGAAAAUCUAAUUUCUAUAUUCUUGCAUACAUCUUGAAGACAUUUUGUUUGACAUGUCCAUAGCAACUUGUUAAAUACAAAAAAGUGUGUGCAUACUACAGCUUUCCAUCAUUUUUUGGUUCAGUGUUGAUGGUAAAUAUAUAUACACAAUGCAUGCAAAUUCCAAUAGUUGAAAGACUGUUUAGUGUGCAAUAUUUUCCUUUUUAUAGAAAAUUUAUUUGAAAAGGGCGUUUAAAGUUGGCAGAGAUUGAAGUUCAAGUGAAGACUAGUGCUUGGAUAUUUGAAGGUGUUGGAGUGACUACCAGUGACCAUAUUUCAAAUGUCCAUUCUCCCAUGUCCGAGUAGACCAGAUUGACUCUUUCUAUUCUGCUGUAUAAUGUGAUCACCCAGGAACCAUUUUGGUGGUAUCUUUUCGUUAGCUAAAUGUUGUGUUGCAAGCAAAAAAAUAGUGCAUGCUAUUACGGCAUUUAUUCCUGUUAAUUUUUUAAAUUGGGACCUGUACAAUAAUUUCUAAUUCGGACAGCAAUGUCCUUGCAUAUUCAUAAAUGGAAAGUACACAAAUUUUGUCCCGUUUAAUUCUUUGAAUCUUGAUUGUUUCUGUUUACUACUGCAUAUCUUGUAAAAAUUUGCUCUGCAGUCUUGAAUGGCCGUGGCAAGAUUGAAAGUUGGGAUUUCAUUGGCAAGUAAUUUAGUCCGACCUGCCGCUGUUGGCUGGGGCAACUGAACAAGGACAGUCGACUUGUAGAAGUAAAUAUGGAAAAUCAGAUUAUCAGAGAAGGUAGAUGUUCGUCUCCAAUACUUAUAGUGUCUGAAGUGUUCUACAGACCAGGGCAGUUGAAGGUUUGUAAAUUGUAAAACUAUGAUGCAUGCUGAGCAAAAUUGGAUCCAUAUUGCAUUUAAGUUGUGAUUAUGUAAUAUAGGAAAUAGAUAUGCUCGUGCAAGACAUGACAAUAUUGGGAUUCAAUGUCCUUGGAUCUUGAAGACUAUUCCUUAUUUUUGGAACCAUUUGUCCAGGUAAUAAUAGAAUUCAAAAUUCUCAUGUUUUGUUUCGUGUGGUUUGGUUACAUUCAAUUUUAAAUCAUGCAGGCAUUUGUCAGCUCUGUUGAUUUCACGAAACAAACCCCCAUUUUUCAAUCGUAGAAUGUUUGGCAAUUAAUCCAAUCAAUCCUUAGUUUUGUGUUUGGUUUUUGUUUUCUAUGCUUUUUAUAGCAAAGUUCUGAAAUUGCAAGUCCUCGAGUGCAGUCCACAAUCCUUGGGAACACAUUUACCAGAGAGUCGGCAACCUUUUCCAACACGCUACCCUUAAUUAAUGCAAGUAGUAAGGUAAUUUCAGUUUACACCAAAGCUUUACAGCACAUCAACAAAGGGAACUUGUAAAAUGGUUAGGAAAUUGUCAAGGUACCGAGCUGAAGUUUGUUGAUUUCACGAAACAAACCCCCAUUUUUCAAUCGUAGAAUGAUUGGCAAUUAAUCCAAUCAAUCUUUAGCUUUGUGUUUGGUUUUUGUUUUCUAUGCUUUUUAUAGCAAAGUUCUGAAAUUGCAAGUCCUUGAGUGCAGUCCACAAUCCUUGGGAACACAUUUACCAGAGAGGUUGCCAACACUCUACCCUUAAUUAAUACAAGUAGUAAGGUAAUUUCAGUUUACACCAAAGCUUUACAGCACAUCAACAAUGGGAACUUGUAAAAUGGUUAGGAAAUUGUCGAGGUAUAAAGCUUAAGUUUCAAGAAAAGGGCAUUUAACCAUGGAAUUGGAAACCGACAUGGUUUAUGCUAUAGGAGUGAUGCAGUGGUAAGGCAUUAACGGGCCCUUUUGUUGCAAGUCUUCCAUGUAACUCCAUGAUUCGAGUGGAAUGGCAUUAUCGACCCAUUUAUUUUUCAUAGCGGUACUACACAAUUAGUAAUUAGGACAUCUUGUGUAUAAAAUGCUUUAUAAAUGACGUGAGUAGCAUCUAGGGCACUGUCGGCAGUUGACCACUCCCAUUUCCCCCAUGUAAAGUAUGCAGUGAUUGAAGAAAAUAAAAACUGAAUUUGAAAUAAAGUAAUUUCUCCAGUGAACAAUAAAUAUGCCUUCCCGUUGACGUAGCUUUAAUUUUAGAUCUACUGGAAACGCCAUACAGGUAGUUUGAACUGAACGCUGAGGGAAAACUGCUAUUCUUCUUCAUGCAAAUAUUGGACCAAAAGAACAUGCACAUGAAAACGAGUCAUCUCGCAAGAAAUUUGAAAAGGAAAAAUUCAGCUAGAUGAUGCACAGUAGACACUGGAAAGCAUGCUGCUGAAUAUUAUUAGGGGAAAGGACCAAAUGCAAUAGGAAUCUAUGCACAUCUAACAGAAAUGGACUGGGUCGAUCGCUGGUUGAGUUGUGAAGGUCCCAGGUUCUAUCCCCGAUUUGGCUGUGCAUUCCUCUCCUGUUGAACACAUUUCAUUUGGUAACGGUUUCACAAAAUAAAGGAAGAAUGACGCAUGAUUUCACACUGGUUGGUAAUUCAGAACAUACUUUACCAUCAAGCAAGAGUUUGAGGUAAGACAUGGACAAUUAUUUCCUAAUAGAAGAUAAUCUUGUAAACUUAGGUGGAAUUGUGUAGGAAUGUAACAUUCAGAUUAAUAAAUUCAAUGCAUUAGGGAUGAGGAAAUUGAACAGAUGGACAGUAAUAUUUAUUGUGGUUGAAUGUAGGUUCAUCUUUAAUGGAACAUGGUUAUUGAAGCAUCAGUUAUUCGGGUUGACAUGAUGCAAAAAUUGAAGAUCAAAUUAAAAAAAUAUUGUUUGUUACCUUGAUUGUUUUUCUUGUAAAACAAUUUUAUGUAAAAGUAAAAAUGUGAACACCAUUUGAUUUAAUUUUUAAGAAAUGCUGACAUUGAAUUUUAAAAUCUGAAAUUUAAUGGUUUGUCAAGUUUAAAACUUCCACCAUAGAAAAUUGAGCUUAUUGGCCAACUUUUUCAUGUCUUUUUCGUUUGUCGGUGUGCUAACAUUAAUAAUUUAUCGAUAAUAAAAACACCUGGAGGAUAUUGGAAUGCCAAGUCCAGCUGGUAGUUCUAGUAGGGCUCAACACUGAAGAUUGAAUACUGGGAGAUGUUUCUGGUACAUAGUACAAAGAAAACCUGUUCUAGAGUGCAAGCUGAAAAGGUAUAUAUAUUCUACUUGUUGAUGGACAAAUGUUAUCAAAUACUAUGCCAAUGUGUGUGAAAAAAUGAAACUGAACCAUAUAACCAAAAUACAAAAAAUGGUGAAAACACAAGACUGGCCGAUACAAAAGACCGGCAUGAACAAACUCGAGUAGAGCACUGUAUGACCAUAUAUGUAUGGUCACCAAAAAUUCAACUCUUUCUGGGACUGAGGUAAAACUAGACUAAUGCUACAUAAAUGGGAACAACACUACUAGGGGUAAUGGUACAACAGCAGGACCAACACAACUGAGGCGCCACUAAACUAAUGGGGGUAAUGGAACAACAGCAGGACCAACACAACUGAGGCGCAACUAAACUAAUGGGGGUAAUGGUACAACAUCAGGACCAACGCAACCGAGGGAAUUGGUACAACUACAGGACCGACACUACCGAGGGAAAUGGUACAACUACAGGACCGACACUACUGAGGGAAAUGGUACAACUACAAGACCAACACUUCUGAGGGAAAUGGUACAACUACAAGACCAACACU